GCGGGUGUAGCUCAGCGGUAGAGCGUUACCUUGCCAAGGUAAAUGUCGAGAGUUCGAUCCUCUUCACCCGCU
rnacentral:tRNA from 1 species